rnacentral:rRNA from 1 species
CCUACGGGAGACAGCAGUGAGGAAUAUUGGUCAAUGGGAGAGAUCCUGAACCAGCCAAGCCGCGUGAGGGAAGACGGCCCUAUGGGUUGUAAACCUCUUUUGUCGGAGAACAAAACCCGGGACGUGUCCCGUACUGCGUGUAUCCGAAGAAAAAGCAUCGGCUAACUCCGUGCCAGCAGCCGCGGUAAUACGGAGGAUGCGAGCGUUAUCCGGAUUUAUUGGGCGUAAAGCGCUCGUAGGCGGUAUGUCAAGUCAAGGGUGAAAUCCCCGCGCUCAACGUGGGAACUGCCUUUGAAACUGGCAAACUGGAGUGUGUGAGAGGAUAGUGGAAUUCCAGGUGUAGGAGUGAAAUCCGUAGAUAUCUGGAGGAACAUCAGUGGCGAAGGCGACUAUCUGGCACAUAACUGACGCUGAGGAGCGAAAGCGUGGGUAGCAAACAGGAUUAGAUACCCGUGUAGUC